UAGCCCAAACCAAUAAAGUUUUCUUUAUUGGGGUUGCGGACAUAUCUUAAACGAAGAGGUAUCGUAAUUGAAGAGGUUUGGAAAGACCCACCACAGAAGGUAAUAGUCCUGUAUGUCAAACGAGAAAACUUCAGAUAUGAUCCAGAGUACCACGGGACACGUGAAACCCUGUGGGAAGCAGGAGGGACCACCCUCCAAGGCUAAAUACUACCUAGUGACCGAUAGCGUAUAGUACCGUGAGGGAAAGGUGAAAAG
rnacentral:rRNA from 2 species